rnacentral:rRNA from 1 species
CCUACGGGAGGCAGCAGUGAGGAAUAUUGGUCAAUGGGCGGGAGCCUGAACCAGCCAAGCCGCGUGAGGGAAGAAGGUACAGCGUAUCGUAAACCUCUUUUGUCAGGGAACAAAAGCGGGGACUAGUCCCCGGAUGAGGGUACCUGAAGAAAAAGCAUCGGCUAACUCCGUGCCAGCAGCCGCGGUAAUACGGAGGAUGCGAGCGUUAUCCGGAUUUAUUGGGUUUAAAGGGGUCGCAGGGGGGUUGUUAAGUCAGUGGUAAAAGCCCGGGGCUAAACCCCGGCGAGCCGUUGAAACUGGCGGGCUUGAGUUGGAGAGAGGUACGCGGAAUGCGCGGUGUAGCGGUGAAAUGCUUAGAUAUCGCGCAGAACCCCGAUUGCGAAGGCAGCGUACCGGCUCCACACUGACGCUGAGGCACGAAAGCGUGGGUAUCGAACAGGAUUAGAUACCCUGGUAGUC